rnacentral:tRNA from 1 species
GGGCGAAUGGCGGAAUUGGUAGACGCGCUAGCUUCAGGAGCUAGUGAGAGCAAUCUCGUGGAGGUUCAAGUCCUCUUUCGCCCACCA